rnacentral:rRNA from 1 species
UACGUAGGUGGCAAGCGUUGUCCGGAUUUAUUGGGUUUAAAGGGUGCGUAGGCGGCCUAUUAAGUCAGGGGUGAAAGACGGUAGCUUAACUAUCGCAGUGCCUUUGAUACUGAUAGGCUUGAAUAUACUUGAGGUAGGCGGAAUGUGACAAGUAGCGGUGAAAUGCAUAGAUAUGUCACAGAACACCAAUUGCGAAGGCAGCUUACUAAAGUAUGAUUGACGCUGAGGCACGAAAGCGUGGGGAUCAAACAGG